CCCUUAGGCCUGGGAUAGCUAGCCGAAAGGUUAGGUAAUACCAGAUGAAAUGACUUGAUCGCAUGAUCGAGUUCUCAAAGCAGCAAUGCACCUUUGGAGCGGGCGAUUUCGUAUCAGCUUGUUGGUGAGGUAACGGCUCACCAAGGCGAUGACGCGUAGCCGGACUGAGAGGUUGGCCGGCCACAUUGGGACUGAGACACUGCCCAG
rnacentral:rRNA from 1 species